ACCUCCUUCACCUUUGGCUCUCAUUUCUCUUCCUCCACUCCCUCACACUCUCCUCCUCCACUUCUCCACGAAAUUCUGCUGCCCCUUGCUUGCAUGGCCGGCCAUGGCCAUGGAAAGCCACCAAGAUGAAGCUCCCCUCCUUCCUCAAGCUUCCCCUCACCAUGAGAGCAUCCCUCUCACUCUCUUCUCCCCUAAUCUUUGAUGAAUCCAGCCCUAUUUCUCCUUUCUCCUCUCACAAUAUUGGAUCUUGAUGUAGGUGCAUGUUGGCCCAAACAUGGAGAAGGUUGAGCUAUCCUCAGAUCUGAAGCUCUUGACCAAAGUUCGUCCAAAAACUUGCUGCAAUUUCUGCUAUCUUGCUGUUUCAGAUUCUGGUACGAUUUUGUAAAAUCCGCCAAAUCUCGUGUGCUGAUCCAAAUCGAGUGAUUCAAAGUUCCACAGAUAGGUACUGAAAGGAUCUACAACUUGGCGUUGGUAUCAUCCUCAACUUCGUUACGGAUUUUACACAGUAAAUAAAGUUAUGUAAACAUGCAGAAUCACUGUUUGUUAGAUUUAUCCCAUUUUACAAAACCUUUUUGAACAAACUCAACUGUGGGUGAAAGCCUUCUUCAGUACCUUUAUUUUGGCAGUGGUUUCACUUCGAUUAACCUCCUGAAAUUAAAAUGGUUCACAGAUCAAGAUCUGGUCAGAUCUUAAUUUGUCGAAUUAAACCAGGAGCUUGGAAACGAAUUUUUGAAUGAAACCAACUGGGGGGUACUUAGCUUGCGCCAUGGUGAUACCGAGAGAGGCAAUUGCUAAGUUGUGAUACUCUCAUACCUUUACUAGAUGCGAACAAUUGCGGAGAAGAAGAAGAAGUGGAAUAGGAUGAGAAGAUUAUUUAUAUUGUUGGAAUUCUUAUAUCGAUGGAGUUGAAGAAGUACAGGGACAAAUAAGCCAA